AUAUUUACCUAGCAGGGAAGAUACCAUGACCAUAGAAGUGGUUUCCCCAGGUAAGUCUCAUCCUUUGCACUAUGGGUCUGCUGACACCUGUGAUUUUUCCUAAAUUCUAGAAACUUGACUGCAACUGAAUAAUUUGGGUUAGUACAGGACAUGUCCCAAU
rnacentral:snRNA from 11 species